UACGAAGGGGGCUAGCGUUGCUCGGAAUUACUGGGCGUAAAGCGCACGUAGGCGGCUUUCUAAGUCGGGUGUGAAAUCCUGGAGCUCAACUCCAGAACUGCCUUCGAUACUGGAGAGCUCGAGUCCGGGAGAGGUGAGUGGAACUGCGAGUGUAGAGGUGAAAUUCGUAGAUAUUGGCAAGAACACCAGUGGCGAAGGCGGCGCACUGGCCCGGGACUGACGCUGAGGUGCGAAAGCGUGGGGAGCAAACAGG
rnacentral:rRNA from 1 species